rnacentral:rRNA from 1 species
GUGGGGAAUAUUGGACAAUGGGCGCAAGCCUGAUCCAGCAAUGCCGCGUGGGUGAAGAAGGUCUUCGGAUCGUAAAGCCCUUUCGACAGGGACGAUGAUGACGGUACCUGUAGAAGAAGCCCCGGCUAACUUCGUGCCAGCAGCCGCGGUAAUACGAAGGGGGCUAGCGUUACUCGGAAUUACUGGGCGUAAAGGGCGCGUAGGCGGCUCUGUUAGUCAGGCGUGAAAUUCCUGGGCUUAACCUGGGGACUGCGCUUGAUACUGCAGGGGUUGAGGCAGGGAGAGGGUGGUGGAAUUCCCAGUGUAGAGGUGAAAUUCGUAGAUAUUGGGAAGAACACCGGUGGCGAAGGCGACCACCUGGCUCGGUUCUGACGCUGAGGCGCGACAGCGUGGGGAGCAAACAGGAUUAGAAACCCGUGUAGUCC